GAUAUUAUAUGGGUUAAAAUACCAUGGCAAUUAGCUAAGGAACUCCAGUAGUGAGUCCCUAGCUUGACCAGCUGGAGACAGGUCCUUUGCCGGAUGCUGCUUCAUUUCAAUUUCCGGAAUCUUUAGCCCUCACAUUGCGAUAAGUUGGCAAGACCAGGACCAGGGAGAACCAAAAGUUGUGCAGAGUGAGAAAAACUUUGCGAAUAGCUUGUGUCAUGGGAAAGCGUACGAUAUAAAGAAAUCUAAGAAAGUGGGCAAAGUGUUUUUGUGCUUUUCGAAGGCAACUAAGCGCGAAAAGUUUUCCUUUCUCCCACUCUAUAUAUAUAUGGCAAGGACAACGACAACGCCAACGAAGACGACGAUGUUGGAGCUCUAAAUAAAAUAAAUUCGAUUCGCAUUUGGCUGAAGAUGGCGAAAAAGCCGCCAACGGGCCUCCUCCUCUCCUACUCCUCCCGCGACUCUCGCCCUUGGCAAUCAUCGCUGUGCAGAUUUUUUGUUUGCCGCUCGCCGGGCCCCAACUUUUCUCUGUCUUUUUUUUGCCCGUUUUGCGUUUCGCGACGCGCUGCCACAUUAAUUUCACUUCUUAUAAAUCUCACUAGCUGUCCCCCAGUUGCCCACCCAUCGACCCAUCCACUGUGGAAUCCAACUUAAAGUUACGUUGGGCUGACUCUGGCCCUUAAAGUCACAAGUUGUUUGAACCAUAAUUCAUUUCCUUAUCGUGUUCCAUUCAAUGCAAACACACACACCCUCACAUUUCUUUUGUUUGCCAUCUUUUCAAUUAGUGUCAAUAUUUUAAUCGCUUUCGAUUAAUUUCAAUUUGCUCGGCUAUUUUUCAACAAAAACACUGAAAAUUGCUUGCAUUCGCUAGCAAAUAUUGACAGACUUGUAAUUUUAGCUAAACGAUGGGCCAGGCCCAGAGCCUAGCCCAGGCCCUGGCAUAGAUGAAAUCUGAUUGCCCUACAGCCAUAUGGAGUAGCGUAUAUGUCCAGAGUUUAGGUAGAUCCCACCUGGAAAAAACUAAAUUGCCUGAUGUGCACAUAUGGAUAUGCAUAUUCCAUAGAUAAAUUUCUAUUGCCUAGUUAGGGGGGAAAAAGCUAGAAGUCUGCCCGAAUAGCUCUUUGUUUGGAUACUUCUAGUUGAGUGCAUUGUCUCAGGGAAGGGUAUAGAAAUGAUAACAGAUGAUUGCUGAUUGCUUAGGAAACUUGAAAUAGAUUCAAUUUACAUAUAUUGAAUAUAUAUUAAAUAUAUUAUAUACUUCAGAACUUAAGUGUUGGCUCUUUGACUCAUAGCGUAGUUUGUGGACAUGCUAAAAACACUAAUUUAUCAUUGUAUCUUUUUUGCAAAUUUUCCGUAAGUUCUUUACUUGUUCAUAUUUGAAUACACACUGAAUUGGCAACUAAUUUAAAUUCAUUCACAUGGAAUUGUUUUUUGUGUGUAUUUUGCGGGUCGAUCCACUUCAAUUGUAACAGCAAAAAUAUGCUAAAAAAGGUUUUGGUUUUUAUAAAUAAAAUAAAAUUCAGGUAAAAAAAAAUUAGGAAACAAUAUUUACAGGUUUUCAUGGUUGUAAAGGCUUUUUGAGGUCCAUAAAAAGUUGCCUGUCUAAUGUACAGGCCGAAUUGACAUGUUUAAUGUUUGGGGGGGAGAGGUCGGGGACGCGGCAAUAAAAGCCAUAUAAUGGCAUUGGGCAGUAGGAAAAUAUUGAGCAAUAAAAGUCGCACAAAAACCUAAUGAAAACAAACAAAACUAUAAAUUCGCCAGCAUAAAACUCCACGAUUGGCAAAGCAUUUAACACAAAACAAAUAAACAUUUAAGUUUUAUUUAUACGAGAGAGAGUUGCUUUGCCCCUCACAUUUCUCUGCCACAUUCUCCGCUUAAUCAUGUUAAAAGCCAAAUGCUGUGCGAACAAGAUCGUGGCAAUGAAACAACUGUUUCGUAUAUCUGUGGAUGUGGAUGCGAAAUUGGAGCUGAGUAAAUUGCAUUUGACAUUGCGUUUGAGUCUGAAAUGGAUGGAAGCCGGGGAAUGACAAGUCAAAGUCGCUCAUAUCAACCGGAAAAAAGCAACGAAAGCAUUUUGAACAACAAAUAAGAAUGCAUUUUCGAUAUUACGACUAAAAGCUACCCUCUACAAGGGAACAAUCUAAUAAAAACUUUAUCGAUGAAUAGAAAACGCUUUAUUAUUUCCACGAAUACCCAUCUACUCCACUUGUACCGGGUAGAAUAAACUUAGCCCACAUCUGUUUCUCUUUCUUUUUUGAAUUUCUUUGGGUUAUUGCUGUUGUGGUCGUUGUAGAUUGACUUGUGGUCGGAGAAUAUGUACGAUAUACUCACACAUUUGGGUCAGUCGGGCGAUUGUUUGGUCUGUCAAAAUGACAGAAUAUAUUCUGCCUCUCAUAUCACAGAGCGUAUGUUGGGUGAUUAAAAAGAAAAUAACUGGAAAUCCAUUUGACUGUCAGUGGGGAUAAUUGUAGUCAUAAUAUUCUAAAUCUUCACCCCCUGUCUUCCACGACUGACAGCCUAAGCUAUAAGUGCUUUAUUCGAGCUGGAAUUGCUAAUUUGCGUCAAGUAUUCAAUUACUUGUAUUUGGCUUAAAGAAUAUGCUUUAGGCCGUCCUUUGCCCGUCCUUCACAUAUUGCUUAGCCAUUUGUCAGGGACCCAAAUCAGAGAAGAGCUCUUCCCCCAUCCAUAUAUCAGGCCGGGCUACCUCAACUAUUAGGCUUAAACGGUUGUUUGUGGUCUCAGCGACCGUAAUUAUAAGUUAAGCUGCUAUUAAUUAUGGCGCCUAAUAGAGAGAGGAGUAGUAGGUGGCUACACAGCCCAUAUGCUUAACCUCAAUGUCGGCAUCAUGGCCCACACCUACCCUAUACGUAUACUCGUACAUAUUGGCUCAUCCAUAAGCAGUGCAGUGCAUAUAUCAGGCAUCCCAGCCGCCCAAUAGUCUAAUCGCUUCGGCGGGCAAAAGUCGCUUUUCGGGUGCGCGCAACCCCAAAACGAACCCGUAAUUAAUUUGCGAGUUCGGUAUCAAAUUUUCACAAGUGUGUGUGGGGGUGCCACGUGGUGUGCGUGGUUGUUGGGAGAACUUUGGCGCUAAUUAGCAAUAAAUUUGAUAUUUGAAAAGGAACUGAUUGAGCCGCCAGAGCUCCUCCUGUUCGUGGAUUAUGAUAUAUUGCUGCUGAUGAAGGGGCACAUUUACAUACAUACAUAUGUACAUAUAUCACUUAAUGCCAAGAAACAAUAAAUUGUUUAGGAUACAUUGGCCGUGAUUACAUUAUAUGCCAUAAAUUCGUCACCAUCGCUGUAAAAGCUCGCACCUCUGCGUGUCACUCCAAGCCUGUAAAGUUCCAUUUCCACCCAGGACAGGGUGGGGAUUCAAUGGGCCCACACCUUAACCGAUGACGCCUCCAGCAACCCGAUCAGCAAUGCAGCCAAGCACCAGGGGGCCGCGGAUGACAUGAUUUUCAGUCACAUAACGACUUUAUUCCUGCUAAUCUAUUCCACUAAUCUCACUGAGAAUGAGCACCAUCUUAUAGAUGGCUUUGAAUUGUUCGGCAACCUAGGCUAAUUAGACUAAUUAGAAAUAAAUUAGAUAUU